rnacentral:rRNA from 1 species
CAGAGGGUGCAAGCGUUAAUCGGAUUUACUGGGCGUAAAGCGUGUGUAGGUGGCUUCCUAAGUCGGUUGUGAAAUCCCUGGGCUCAACCUGGGAAUUGCAGUCGAUACUGGGAAGCUCGAGUUCGGUAGAGGGUGACGGAAUUCCCGGUGUAGCGGUGAAAUGCGUAGAUAUCGGGAGGAACAUCGAUGGCGAAGGCAAUCACCUGGGCCUGAACUGACACUGAGACACGAAAGCGUGGGUAGCAAACAGGAUUAGAUACCCUGGUAGUCCACGCCGUAAACGAUGGGAACCUGACGUCGGUCUGCUCUGCGGAUCGGUGACGUAGCUAACGCGCUAAGUUCCCCGCCUGGGGAGUACGGCCGCAAGGUUG